GAUGAACGCUGGCGGCGUGCCUAAUACAUGCCAGUCGAGCGAACAGACGAGGAGCUUGCUCCUCUGACGUUAGCGGCGGACGGGUGAGUAACACGUGGAUAACCUACCUAUAAGACUGGGAUAACUUCGGGAAACCGGAGCUAAUACCGGAUAAUAUAUUGAACCGCAUGGUUCAAUAGUGAAAGACGGUUUUGCUGUCACUUAUAGAUGGAUCCGCGCCGCAUUAGCUAGUUGGUAAGGUAACGGCUUACCAAGGCAACGAUGCGUAGCCGACCUGAGAGGGGGAUCGGCCACACUGGAACUGAGACACGGUCCAGACUCCUACGGGAGGCAGCAGUAGGGAAUCUUCCGCAAUGGGCGAAAGCCUGACGGAGCAACGCCGCGUGAGUGAUGAAGGUCUUCGGAUCGUAAAACUCUGUUAUUAGGGAAGAACAAAUGUGUAAGUAACGAUGCACGUCUUGACGGUACCUAAGCAGAAAGCCACGGCUAACUACGU
rnacentral:rRNA from 1 species